rnacentral:lncRNA from 1 species
AUUGAUCUUAAAUUCUAAUUCAUAAACUCAAACGAACAUAAAAUAUUUAUCAAAUAACCACAAACUCUUACAUGGGAGACGCCACUUGCAGAGACAAGCGCACAUUUUAUUAUAAAUAUGAGUAUAAUAUUGUUGAAAGUUCAUAUAUAUACAAUGUAUAUAUAUAUAGCUAUUAAGCCGCUUGUACUGGUUUCCCCAUACUUGUGGUCCACAAAUCUGAA